rnacentral:lncRNA from 1 species
CUCGGUAACUUCAUGUUUUAAUUCCUUUAGCUGCUCGUAAGAGCUCGCUCCAGCUAGCAUAUCAUCCAUGUAGAAGUUUUGCCUUACAGCUUCGCUAGCUAAUGGGAAUGAUUCCCCAAAUUGAUCCGUUAAAUAGUAAAGACAUCUAACUGCUAGAAAAGGUGCUGAAUUGGUUCCAUAGGUAACCGUUUUAAGGCGUAGUACCUUAAUUGGGUCAGUACUACAAUUACGCCAUAAAAUGCACAAAUAAUUGCAGUCGCUUGGCUCAACUAAUAUUUGCCUAUACAUCUUAGAGAUGUCAGCAGUCAAUGCGAAUCGAUAAAACCGGAAUCGAGUAAGGGUCUCGAACAAAUCUGGUUGCAACGUUGCUCCUACUAGCAUUGUAUCGUUUAACGCAAGCCCAUUGCUUGAUUUACACGAUGCAUCAAAUACGACUCUCAACUUUGUCGUCAAACUUUCUGGGCGAAUCACCGGAUGAUGGGGCAUGAUAUAUUUCACCUCGUGUAUCUUAUCAGCCGCUACCUCCUCUAAAUGAUCCAAUUGUCUAUACUCAUCGAAAAAUUCUGCGUAAGCUCUCUUCAACUCUGGAUUCUUACUGAAC